GACGAACGCUGGCGGCGUGCUUAACACAUGCAAGUCGAACGAAGUGGCGAACGGGUGAGUAACGCGUAAUCAACCUGCCUUUCGGGGGGGGCCACAGGUGGAAACGACUGCUAAUACCGCAUAAUGGAGGAGGGGAUUGCGUCUGAUUAGCUAGUUGGAGGGGUAACGGCCCACCAAGGCGAUGAUCAGUAGCCGGUCUGAGAGGAUGAACGGCCACAUUGGGACUGAGACACGGCCCAGACUCCUACGGGAGGCAGCAGUGGGGAAUCUUCCGCAAUGGACGAAAGUCUGACGGAGCAACGCCGCGUGAGUGAUGACGGCCUUCGGGUUGUAAAGCUCUGUUAAUCGGGACGCGGUACCGGAAUAGAAAGCCACGGCUAACUACGUGCCAGCAGCCGCGGUAAUUC
rnacentral:rRNA from 1 species